GCUUCGGUAUCCCAAUCGGCAGAGGAAUCGCGUCGAGAACGCGAGCAGUGCGGGUUCGAAUCCCGCCCGGAGCA
rnacentral:tRNA from 1 species